rnacentral:misc_RNA from 1 species
AACCUAGCACACCUGCGGUGUGUACCUGCGGAAGGAUCAUUACACAAUAAACAUAUGAAGGCUGCACCGCCAACAGGCGGCAAGGCUGGAGUAUUUUAUUACCCUUGUCUUUUGCGCACUUGUUGUUUCCUGGGCGGGUUCGCCCGCCUCCAGGACCACAUGAUAAACCUUUUUUAUGCAGUUGCAAUCAGCGUCAGUACAACAAAUGUAAAUCAUUUACAACUUUCAACAAUGGAUCUC